UACGUAGGGCGCAAGCGUUGUCCGGAAUUAUUGGGCGUAAAGAGCUCGUAGGCGGCUUGUCACGUCGGGUGUGAAAGCCCGGGGCUUAACCCCGGGUCUGCAUUCGAUACGGGCUAGCUAGAGUGUGGUAGGGGAGAUCGGAAUUCCUGGUGUAGCGGUGAAAUGCGCAGAUAUCAGGAGGAACACCGGUGGCGAAGGCGGAUCUCUGGGCCGAUACUGACGCUGAGGAGCGAAAGCGUGGGGAGCGAACAGG
rnacentral:rRNA from 1 species